GACGAACGCUGGCGGCGUGCCUAAUACAUGCAAGUCGAACGCUUCUUUCCUCCCGAGUGCUUGCACUCAAUUGGAAAGAGGAGUGGCGGACGGGUGAGUAACACGUGGGUAACCUACCCAUCAGAGGGGGAUAACACUUGGAAACAGGUGCUAAUACCGCAUAACAGUUUAUGCCGCAUGGCAUAAGAGUGAAAGGCGCUUUCGGGUGUCGCUGAUGGAUGGACCCGCGGUGCAUUAGCUAGUUGGUGAGGUAACGGCUCACCAAGGCCACGAUGCAUAGCCGACCGGGGGGGGGGAUCGGCCACCCGGGGACUGAGAACGGGCCAAGACUCCGACGGGAGGCAGCAGGAGGGAAUCUUCGGCAAUGGACGAAAGUCUGACCGAGCAACGCCGCGGGAGUGAAGAAGGUUUUCGGAUCGUAAACUCUGUUGUUAGAGAAGAACAAGGACGUUAGUAACUGAACGUCCCCUGACGGUAUCUAACCAGAAAGCCACGGCUAACUACGUG
rnacentral:rRNA from 1 species